rnacentral:lncRNA from 1 species
CUAGAGGGAGAGCUUUGAAAGUCCUGGGAGCACCAGGUGGCCUGGGAUUCACCCAAGGCUGAACAGCCAGCUAGUGAAACAGAAUGUUAUUUCAUAGGGACACAUCAGCUUUCAGGAUCUGCUCAAAGAUUUUGCUAAAAAAUGGAAGUUCUCAACUAAGGCAAGGUUCAAAUCAUACCUCUCCAUGAUGCCUUGGUUCAACAAGAGAGGGAAAAGAAUUUGUUCAGCCCCAAAGGCAAAUUUCCCACUCAAACUGAUAGAUUAUUAUUUCUGGAUGAAGCUUUUAGAUUCAGACAGACGGUGUGGAAAUAAUAGACUGCAGCUGAUUCAGACACAAGAUGAGGGAAUUCAAGCUCACAAAGAGGAAGUGACUUAUUCAAGAUCACACAAUCUGGACUAGAACUGGUUCUCAGGCUAGCCUUUCCCAUAUUAUCAUGUUUUAAUACAGUGAAAUAUCUAUAUUACCUAGGGUAGCUAGGUGAUACAGUGAUUAGGGUUCUGGACCUGGAGGCAGGAAAACUCAUCUUCUUGACUUAAAAUUUGGCUGUAGACACUUUCUGUGUGACCUCAGGAAAAUUCCUUAACCCUGCUUGCUUCAGUUUCCUCAUCUGUAAACUGAGCUAGAAAAGGAAAUUGCAAGCCACUCCCAUAUAUUUGCCAUGAAAACCCCAUAAGGGGUCACUGAAAUGACUGAACAACAAAAAUCUCUUCAAAGUGGGAAAUUGCUCCAACUAAGCAUAAUUUUGACCUGUUCAUUCCUGCCCAUUCUGUGCUCUACUGGAUGUCCAUAUGUUGUUUUGGGGACCUUUCUCUAGUUCUUUUGAUACUUCUUGUAUAAAAUGGAAUAUUGUGGCUGUUCAUUACUUAUCUCUUACUCUCAGUAUGUGAUCAGCCCAUCUUUUUUCCUAGUCAUAUGUCUAUGAUGACUGCCUCUGUGCCAUCUGAUCAAUAAUUUCUUGAAUUUCAAUGAGUAUCAGUGCUUAAGGUAUGUACUUCUUGGGUCUGUAGCAAGAGUUUGAUUGACAUCCCUCAAGCUGGUUGGGUGAGAGUUCCAAGCUGUUGAAGGGACAGGUUUCCAACUGUCUGUCUGGAGCUGAAGGUCAAGCCUGCAGGGUAUAGAUCUGGACUCUCCUGGACUCUCCUGGACAUCUUGCAAGCUGCCUUGAAUACCCUCAAACAAGGGUGAGAGGAAUUUCCCCAUUCACUCUGGUGGACAGAGUGGAAACUUGGAGGAGCCUCUCUUUCCUGGGACAUCUGAGGACUUAGCUAGAUUCCUGUACCUGACCCACCAAGGACUCUCUGUGUGUGAGGAAAUCUGGUAAAAUUCACACUGUAGGACUUACCCUUAGGAAAAUUAGGUAUUUAGUUUAGUGAAGUUAGAUAAUGGGUUUAAUAAUUGGGAUAAGAGUCCAAUGCAACCCUUCCCCUUUUUCCUUUUCCUUUCAUCCUUUCUUUGUUAAUAAAUUCAUUUUAUUUAAUUGUACCCCUUCCA